rnacentral:rRNA from 3 species
UGCAGAAGGAUCAUUA